AAUGACUCAUCUUUUUACAUGUCGUCUUAAUUUAUAUCUGAUUUAACAAUAUAACCGCAAUUAUUAACUAACUUUAUAGUAUGAAUUAUAAAAGUGUCUGAAAUUAAUUGGAUGCCUGGUAACACGAGGUGAUGAACUAUAUUAAUUAUGUGUGUAACAUCUCUGUUUUCCUAGCUAAUUCAUAUUAGAUUUAGCAUCAGAUUUCAUUUAUGUGUUUCAAAGGGUAAUCGAUUUGAUACUUAUAUUUGGGAUCCUACUGCAAAGCAUACUAAUUUGGAAAAAAAAAUAUAAAAUGCUGUGAUUAAUCUUGUCCAUAAAAUAUGCAGGGGAAGACUGCAGAGAUUGGAUACAUAUUUUCAUUUACAACUUAAUUUUGUUGAUUUUUAGGUUGCAUUCCCUCAAUUGAUAGAGUUAAAGUAUCUGGAUUACACAAAGUGCAGCAUCUCUGGAAGGAAAAUGACGAAUCCAGCAAAGCGUUUGCAAACUUGGGAAGUCUAGAAAUAUCGGAAUGUAGUAAGUUGCAAAAAUUAGUACCACCUUCGUGGCAUUUGGAAAAUCUGUGGGAACUAGAAGUAUCGAAGUGUCACGGGUUGAUAAAUGUGUUGACGCUCUCAACAUCUAAAACUCUAGUGAAUCUCGAAAGAAUGAAGAUAGCUGAUUGCAAAAUGAUAGAAGAAAUCAUACAAUCGCAGGUUGGAGAAGAAGCGGAAGAUUGCAUUGUUUUCAGGAAAUUGGAGUACUUGGGACUUGAUUGUUUGCCAAGCCUAACAAGCUUUUGUUUGGGUAAUUACGCUCUUGAGUUCCCGUCCUUGGAACACGUAGUUGUGAGACAGUGCCCAACAAUGAAGAUUUUCUCUCAAGGAGUCGUAGACGCACCGAAGCUAAACAAAGUGAAACCCACCGAAGAAGAAGAUGGUGAUGACGAAGGAUGUUGGGAAGGAAACCUCAAUGACACCAUAAAAAAAUUGUUCAAUGAAAUGGUGAGUAUCAAUGAAGUGUUGGCACUAUCUAGCAAAUUAUUUCUAUAGCUAUUAACGUGGCAUAAUAUGAUUGCUUGAUUGAAAAUAUAAAAUAAUAAUAAAUAAAUUAUGAGGGUUAUGUUAUGUUUUUGUUUAAUCAAUCAUAUUACGUCAUAUUAGUUUGUACAAUAUUAUUUGUGCACAAAAGAAAUGGUAUGUGUUAAAUCGAUUCGUCGAAAUUACUUAUGCAUCUCCCUUGCACUUGCACAUUUGAACAUAUAAGUUUAAUGUAUAUAUAUAUCUAUGCCUUUCAAAAAGAAAAAAUUGUAUAUAUCCAGUGCAAUUGUUUUGGUUUGUGCAGAUUGGAUUUCGUGACAUAAUACAUUUGCAACUCUCGCAUUUUCCACGUUUGAAAGAAAUAUGGCAUGGCCAAGCACUGCCUGUCAGCUUCUUCAACAAUUUAUUCGACCUGGUGGUGGAUGACUGCACGAAUAUGUCGAGUGCUAUUCCUGCUAAUCUGCUACGGUGCUUGAACAAUUUGGUAUACCUGGAAGUGAGGAAUUGUGAUUCACUUGAAGAGGUGCUUCAUUUGGAAGAGCUAAUUAAUGCUGACAAAGAACAUAUAGGCCCCCUGUUUCCUAAGCUUUUCAAGCUAGGGCUCACUGACCUUCCAAAACUCAAAAGAUUUUUCAACUUCACUAGGAAUAUAAUUGAACUGCCUAAGUUGAGAUAUCUAACUAUUGAGAAUUGCCCUGAUAUGGAAACAUUCAUAUCCAAUUCUACAUCUGUACUGCACAUGACAGCAGAUAAUAAGGAAGCUCAAAAAUUAAAAUCAGAAAAGAACCUCUUGGUAGCUGAUCAAAUACAACAUCUCUUCAAUGAAAAGGUAAUCAUUAUUAUUAUUUUUCCCUUCACUUUCUUUCGCACAGUUGUAAUUUCAUUAGAAUCAAAUCAAAUUUAAUGACUCAUCUUUUUACAUGUCGUCUUAAUUUAUAUCUGAUUUAACAAUAUAACCGCAAUUAUUAACUAACUUUAUAGUAUGAAUUAUAAAAGUGUCUGAAAUUAAUUGGAUGCCUGGUAACACGAGGUGAUGAACUAUAUUAAUUAUGUGUGUAACAUCUCUGUUUUCCUAGCUAAUUCAUAUUAGAUUUAGCAUCAGAUUUCAUUUAUGUGUUUCAAAGGGUAAUCGAUUUGAUACUUAUAUUUGGGAUCCUACUGCAAAGCAUACUAAUUUGGAAAAAAAAAUAUAAAAUGCUGUGAUUAAUCUUGUCCAUAAAAUAUGCAGGGGAAGACUGCAGAGAUUGGAUACAUAUUUUCAUUUACAACUUAAUUUUGUUGAUUUUUAGGUUGCAUUCCCUCAAUUGAUAGAGUUAAAGUAUCUGGAUUACACAAAGUGCAGCAUCUCUGGAAGGAAAAUGACGAAUCCAGCAAAGCGUUUGCAAACUUGGGAAGUCUAGAAAUAUCGGAAUGUAGUAAGUUGCAAAAAUUAGUACCACCUUCGUGGCAUUUGGAAAAUCUGUGGGAACUAGAAGUAUCGAAGUGUCACGGGUUGAUAAAUGUGUUGACGCUCUCAACAUCUAAAACUCUAGUGAAUCUCGAAAGAAUGAAGAUAGCUGAUUGCAAAAUGAUAGAAGAAAUCAUACAAUCGCAGGUUGGAGAAGAAGCGGAAGAUUGCAUUGUUUUCAGGAAAUUGGAGUACUUGGGACUUGAUUGUUUGCCAAGCCUAACAAGCUUUUGUUUGGGUAAUUACGCUCUUGAGUUCCCGUCCUUGGAACACGUAGUUGUGAGACAGUGCCCAACAAUGAAGAUUUUCUCUCAAGGAGUCGUAGACGCACCGAAGCUAAACAAAGUGAAACCCACCGAAGAAGAAGAUGGUGAUGACGAAGGAUGUUGGGAAGGAAACCUCAAUGACACCAUAAAAAAAUUGUUCAAUGAAAUGGUGAGUAUCAAUGAAGUGUUGCACUAUCUAGCAAAUUAUUUCUAUAGCUAUUAACGUGGCAUAAUAUGAUUGCUUGAUUGAAAAUAUAAAAUAAUAAUAAAUAAAUUAUGAGGGUUAUGUUAUGUUUUUGUUUAAUCAAUCAUAUUACAUCAUAUUAGUUUGUACAAUAUUAUUUGUGCACAAAAGAUUGUGGUCGUAUCAUUAC
rnacentral:lncRNA from 1 species